CACCACUCAAGCCUCGCUUGGUAUUGGGCGACGCGGUCAAUCCGCGCGCCUCAAAUCUUCCGGCUGGUUCGAAUCGUCCCUCAGCGUUGUGGAAACUAUUCGCUAAAGGUGCGCGUUUCGGUCACGCCGUUAAACAAACCAAUUCAUUAAA
rnacentral:misc_RNA from 1 species